rnacentral:rRNA from 1 species
CUACGGGAUGCUCCAGUGGGGAAUAUUGCACAAUGGGCGCAAGCCUGAUGCAGCAACGCCGCGUGAGGGAUGAAGGCCUUCGGGUUGUAAACCUCUUUUAGCAGGGAAGAAGCGAAAGUGACGGUACCUGCAGAAAAGCACCGGCUAACUACGUGCCAGCAGCCGCGGUAAUACGUAGGGUGCAAGCGUUGUCCGGAAUUAUUGGGCGUAAAGAGCGCGUAGGCGGUUUGUCACGGCUGCUGUGAAAAUCCAAGGCUCAACCUUGGACUUGCAGUGGGUACGGGCAGGCUAGAGUGCGGUAGGGGGGAUGGGAAUUCCUGGUGUAGCGGUGGAAUGCGCAGAUAUCAGGAGGAACACCAAUGGCGAAGGCACAUCUCUGGGCCGUAACUGACGCUGAGGAGCGAAAGCGUGGGGAGCGAACAGGAUUAGAUACCCUAGUAGUC